CAUUCACAAAACGUUCAGUUCAGUUAAAUCCGGGGUUUUAACACUGCCGGGUAGACACUGACGAACUUUCUGGUUUCAUGCAGUGAGUCAUAUUUAAGUGCAGAAAGAACUACAAGCACAAUUCAGUAAUGAAUCGCUCCUGUUCAUGGCAUUAUAAAAAUGUCAUGUUAUUUUCGUGGAAAGUGAGGCCUGGGAAGUCUGAUCUAAGGUGAAGAUAACGAACAGCGAUCAAUCUCAUAACUCCUAUAAGCAAUACAAAAUAGAUAGUUGGACAAACACGGACCCUGGAUACACCAGAUGUGGGAUCAGGUGCCUAGGAGGAAUAAUCAUCCCCUGUUGACCGGCCACGCCCGCCGCGAGCCCCAUAUCCUGAUCAGAAGAAAAUCAGGAAGUAAAGCUACCUCUUUUCACAACAGCAGAAACAUUUGACGGCCAGAUUUCGUGCAGAAAAUCCCAAAGAAGGGGUCCAAACUCUUGACGAGCUGCUUCUAUUUGCCGGAAGUUAGAUAUCCA